GGGUGAUUAGCUCAGUGGUAGAGCGCUUCGUUCACAUCGAAGAUGUCAGCAGUUCGAGUCUGUUAUCACCCACCA
rnacentral:tRNA from 1 species